AUUGAACGCUGGCGGCAGGCCUAACACAUGCAAGUCGAACGGAUCCUUCGGGAUUAGUGGCGGACGGGUGAGUAACGCGUGGGAACGUGCCCUUUGGUUCGGAAUAGCCUCGGGAAACUGGGAGUAAUACCGGAUAAGCCCUUCGGGGGAAAGAUUUAUCGCCAAAGGAUCGGCCCGCGUUGGAUUAGGUAGUUGGUGGGGUAAUGGCCUACCAAGCCGACGAUCCAUAGCUGGUUUGAGAGGAUGAUCAGCCACACUGGGACUGAGACACGGCCCAGACUCCUACGGGAGGCAGCAGUGGGGAAUCUUAGACAAUGGGGGAAACCCUGAUCUAGCCAUGCCGCGUGAUCGAUGAAGGCCUUAGGGUUGUAAAGAUCUUUCAGUUGGGAAGAUAAUGACGGUACCAACAGAAGAAGCCCCGGCUAACUCCGUGCCAGCCGCCGCAGUAACAC
rnacentral:rRNA from 1 species